CGGCCGCCAGCCGGUAGGGUGAUUAACUCACCGUCUGUCUUUGCAAAAGUGUUCCAGGUGGAUCAUGAGCACCCGCCCACCCCGCCCGCAGCCUGGCAGCUCGAGGAGGCGCGGAGAGCGCGCAGCGAGCGCGCGCGUCACGUGGCGGCGCGGACGUUUGUGCCGCGCGCCCACCAGACCGCCCAGGAGGCGGCGGCUAUUGUUCCCGCCGGGGCCCGGGGCGCCCUGAAAUGGGGUCCACGCCAGCCCCCUCCCGAGCGUGUCCUCAGGUCUAAGGACGGGUGGGGCUUCUUUUGUGUGUUCUCUGGAAGGGCCUGGGAUGGCGUCGUUGCUGCCCCAAGGGGUAACCGAGGCGGGAUGAGGGAAGAUGGUACCAGCUCCCUAGAGCUCAGCUCACCAGACCUACUCUUCCGCCCGGCCCUUGCAGAGGAGGUGGGGAGGGGUAUGGUAUUUGUAGGGCAGCGCUGUGAACAAUGGAACCAUCAAAAAGGCCUUCUCCCAGCCGCCUCACCAACCACGGACAUUCCUGGCCCAACAAGCCCUCCUGGCCUGGUUUUGAGCCCUGCUUCCCAGAUCUGGGGACCCUUCACCUGCCUCUACUACUGCAAAUGAUUGGAUAUUCGUCUGCCUUGGCUCUUCCCUAAUGUGUGGAACUAAUUUUGUUCACUCUGUUUCAUGCUGGACCUGGCCUGAAAAUGGGCCCUUACAUUGUCUUUGCACUUUCCAACUUGCCAAGUUUCUGAAAGAAGGACCAAAGUAAUGCCAAGAACUCCCAGAUGAAGAGGACCUUCCUUAGACCUAUAACAGAUUCACUACUUGACUUCAGAGGGACGUUUCAGCUAAUUCUCAGGAAAAGGUCAAAACAGGCCUGUGACUGUCCCUCGAAUACUGAAGGUAUAAACAAGCUUCUGGCUCCUCCAGGUCAAGCAGAGGAACACUUUUAUUAGAAUGAAGGGUUACUUCUUUGUUAUUCAGACACACACCCACACACAUCCUCUGUAGUCUCCCUAAUGAAAAACCUCAACAGAUGGAGAGCCUGAGCUCCCACGUCCGCAGGCUGAGAAGAUGCACUUCACUCAGGGGCCAGUGGGCUGGUACAGACUAGGGAAAGGAAAAGGGACAAAGGCUGCUAGUAUAGGUAAUCACUAUCUUUUAAUACUCCUAACACAUAGAAAUUUGAAAAAUCUUGUUCAGCAAUGUUAGCAGCCUCUGAAGCCUCGGAAACUAAUUUGGCUGAUGUGUCUCUGAUAGGGAGCUUAGGGCUGCACCGAGGGGAAACAUUCUCCUCCUGUAUUCUCUCCUCUCUCUCAUUUGAAAGCCUGUACAAAGAAAUGGUACAGGUGGAUGGUUAACUUAACGAUUCCAUCAGAGGCAGAUUUUUCUCUGUCAGGUUCCUGGAUGAGGUGGAGGUCUGAAAGCCAGGAGACAGAAUAUGUACUUAAUUGCCCCUUCUGACCUGCUUACCAGUGACCAGGACUACUCUCCAGGCCUUUCUUCUGCCACUUCCCCAUUCUUCCUGGCUAGUUCAGUUGGGUCUCAGCACUUCAACUCCUGGCUGGAUCCUGAGUUUUUCUUGGUUGCAGGGAAAGCUCUCACUGUCUGCAUCUCCUUCCCCACCCCCACCUCCCAUUUUGCAGCUGGCCAUUCUGGCUGCCUCACAGCUAUCCUGCCUUAAUUCACAUUUGAUUGCCUGGACAGAACACCACCAAGAAUGUCCAGACGACUGCCACCCCUCACCCAUGGGCCUGAGAUCCUGCCCUGACCCCUUUCUUCAGACCCGGGGAGGACCCACAAUCUCCCUGAUCCCCACCUUCCCCAAAGUGGUCUCUAUAGGAAAAAAGCAGAGCUGGCUAAGACCUGAGACAGAGCCAUUUCUUCCCCUUGGGCAAACGAGGUAGACCCUCCCAGAGACCAAUGCCGGAGAGACCCGGAUCCGAGCUCCCUUUAUAUGGCCUCCCCCAUCACGGAACCCGUGGGAAAACCUGGCACACAAUGGCGCGGCUGCUCCGGGCACCCUCAAGCCAGCGCCCUGCGGCAAGGCCUGGAGCAGCCUCGUGGUCUUGGUGCGCUCCCUUUGCCCUCCCCGCAACCCUCUGCGAGCACUCGUCCCGGGAGAGAGACCCUGGCUAGGGUGGAGGUUGCCUCCCGCAAAGGGCGCUGUUGCUGGGGCCUCCCCUCCCCCAUUCUCUUGUUUUUCUGCUUCUGAGACUCGGGUGGGGGGGGGCGGGGGGAGGCGGCAGGCGCCUCCGCAGCCGAUAGAGCAGCUAUUGUGACCUUCCGUUGCAGAGCGGGAACCCAGCCGAGUGUGUACCGCCGGCAGUGGCGGGGGAGGAGGCGACUGUGUGUGCAUACCUCAGUCGGAGAGGGGGUGGCGCUGGGAAAUAAAGGUUUGCAACCUCAGGCAGUUGGGCCCUUCAGAGGGCGUUUGGUUGUGUUCAGACUCGGGUGCUUUCUAACACUAAUUGCAGGCUCAAAAGGAGCGGAAUUUAUUGCGAAGGCCAAGGCGGCUUGUUUAUAAUUUAUGAAGUUUUAAAUGGCUGUGCCGCGGGCCCCAACUUUCUCCUGGGCUGGCAGCCGCGCGGAAACGCGCCCUCCCACGGCUCGCCGCCCACCCCCACCCACGCCCCUCAGAUGAGUCUCACGCCAAUGGCAGGAACAGAUCCGAGCUAUUAGAAGUCUCGGGAACCUCCAGAGGUGACAGAAGGUGGCAGAUUUGGUCCAAGCCCUCACCCCACUCCAGAGGAGGGCGUCGGGGAAAGCUGCGGCUGCCUGGAGAGGGAGCCCCUGAUCCCACACUUCCUUGGAGCCUGAGUGUGAGAGGAAGCUAAUGUCAGCCGGGCUAGACACCGUUUAAAGUCUAAUCCAUGAAACCCUAAGCCACAAAUGACACUUGGGGCUUUGCAGACACCCGCAGACUCAGCAGAUACUCCUGCGGUAACACACUGUGCUGGAAAACGCCUGGAGCCAUGACACAUUAUGUAUUCUUAUUAUUAUUUAUGGUAGGAAGAGGAGAUGAGGGAAAAUCGGGCUGAAUCUAAGCAGCCUGAGAAUUCAGCUAGUUAAUAUUUAGCCAGUUAAGAAAGGUGGUUGUAAUCGCUGCAAGGCAGUGAGCGCUUCCUUGAUUUCUCUAAUAGCUUAAAAAAUAAUUUCUUACAAGACAAUUAGAAAUUCUGCCUAUGGAUGCAAAUUUCAUAGAAAACAAUGUUAAGCCUUGAAAGUGGGUAAAAUGUGCCUUCGAUUGAAAUCAUUUAUUCUGUUGAUACACUUCUACAACAUAUAUAUUUUAAACCUGCUCAGAUAAAGUGAAAUUUAGCAAAAGGAUAUCCCCUCCCACCCCCAAAUCUAACAUGCCAUUUUAAAAACAGCACAAAGGAACAAGGAAACUAAAUAUUAUUUUGAGCCAUCAUUACUUAGUGAAAUACAAACAUCCAAAUAGAAACGAUUGUUGUUCCACCAGAAGAUUAGAAGUUAAAUUAUUUCCACACAAUAGGAAUUUCACCUCGUGUCAUCGGGGAUGUAGUAGGAAUUGCAUUAUUUGUCAAACCAAAUAGAGAUGUGUGGGCUGACUUUGCUGAAAUACAAAAGAAUUGAACCUUAUCUGAAGGCGUUUUCUAAGUGGCCCCUCCCAUAGAAGCCGGGAAGUUGUCCACCCCAAGCAGAAGCCACAUUAAUAUUUACAAAAUGGUUAUAAAUCCUUGAAGACAUUUUUGCCCAUUUUGUAUAAGAAACAGGAGUAAACAAGGUGUUUAUACUUGUUAUGUUUCAUUAAUGAAACUUUUAUUACUUUACAUCAUGGGGAAUGUUUGUUUUCUUUAGAAAUGAACUAAUGAUCACUACAAAGGAAGAAUUCAUGACAGCAUUUCCUAGAGAAAAAGCUUAGGUGCACGUCUCCAAAUGAUGGUUUCUUUUUCUACACCUUAGCUUUUUCAUAGCUCAAUUCUUUUUACAACUUCUCUUGUGUUUUUUUUUUUUUUUUUGAUUGUCAGUUUUCUUUCAAAGUUUAUUUUUUGUUACUUAAUGCAGAAAAGUGAGCUCUGGCCUCCCCAGUGUAAAGUCGAUUGUGUCUAGAAAGAAGGCAGUAAAAACAGCAAAGCAGGCGCUGCUUUCAAAAAGCCCUGCCCAAAUCAUCCUGCCCAGAACCUUUUUAGGUUUGCAUCCUCAUUUCCCCCUCCCCUAAUUUCAAUAGCUGGAAAGUAAUCAAGUAUCCCCAGAACCAAUUUAUGCACUAGACUCCAAAUAAAUAAAAUAUUUUUUUCAAA
rnacentral:antisense_RNA from 1 species